UGGAAUUCUGCAGUCCUUUUGGAUAUGAGAAAAGAGAAAUCAGAGCCAGCCAUCAAAAUUACCAAGAAAUCAAGAACAGAAAGAAGUAUGAGAAGAUGGAGACAUGGACAGUGGCCCUGAGUUAACCAAUCAAAAGAGGAAUACAAAAAGUAUACUUUGAACAGCCACUAUUGGAGACAAGAAAGCCACUUCUCAAGCUCUGGGCCACCCCACCAUCACCCCAAAACUUCAUCACUAGGAAAUGUUAAAGGAUGAGAACAGAGUGUGGGAAACACCCAGGCCAUUGUGGUGCAGAGAUGAUAGUGGCAUUUUGGGCUGGACUACUUUUCAUUUCAUGGGAUCAUUUUGAGGAAAUGUACAUUCAUAAAGGAACUUUCCAUUUGUAAAAACGGCUCCAUUUUUGGAAGAGAUCUACACCCUGGAGGCAACUCUUAUCACCUGGGAGACUCUCACCUGCAUAGCAAGACAGUCCUAUUUACCAAACCUUUCCUCCCUUUAACUUCCCAUGACUUGCCUCCCCCUCUCAGAAGCCUCAAACCCCUUUUCCUUUGUUUAGCCUAAGAUGGUAAAAAGCAUCUUGAGCCACAUCUUUCUUUGUGAACUCCUGUGUGUACUGUUAAAAAAUAAAAUUUAAAGUUUUAAAGA